AGUGAAAUCCUGCCUCAAACAGAC
rnacentral:piRNA from 1 species